GACGAACGCUGGCGGCGUGCUUAACACAUGCAAGUCGAACGGAAAGGCCCUGCUUUUGUGGGGUGCUCGAGUGGCGAACGGGUGAGUAACACGUGAGUAACCUGCCCUUGACUGUGGGAUAACUUCAGGAAACUGGGGCUAAUACCGGAUAGGAGCUCCUGCUGCAUGGUGGGGGUUGGAAAGUUUCGGCGGUUGGGGAUUGACUCGCGGCUUAUCAGCUGGUUGGUGGGGUAGUGGCGUACCAAGGCUUUGACGGGUAGCCGGCCUGAGAGGGUGAACGGCGACCUUGGGACUGAGGUACGCCCCAGUCUCCUACCGGAGGCAGCAGUCGGGAAUCUUGCACAAUGGGCCGAAGCCUGUUGCAGCAACGCCGCGUGCGGGAUGACGGCCUUCGGGUUGUAAACCGCUUUCGCCUGUGCCGAAGCGUGAGUGACGGUAAUGGGUAAAGAAGCACCGGCUAACUACGUG
rnacentral:rRNA from 1 species